AGUGAACGCUGGCGGUAGGCCUAACACAUGCAAGUCGAACGGCAGCACAGUAAGAGCUUGCUCUUACGGGUGGCGAGUGGCGGACGGGUGAGGAAUACAUCGGAAUCUACUUUUUCGUGGGGGAUAACGUAGGGAAACUUACGCUAAUACCGCAUACGACCUACGGGUGAAAGCAGGGGAUCUUCGGACCUUGCGCGAUUGAAUGAGCCGAUGUCGGAUUAGCUAGUUGGCGGGGUAAAGGCCCACCAAGGCGACGAUCCGUAGCUGGUCUGAGAGGAUGAUCGGCCACACGGGACCUGAGACACGUUCCAGACUCCUACGGGAGGCAGCGGUGGGGAAUAUUGGACAAUGGGCGCAAGCCUGAUCCAGCCAACCCGCGUGGGUGAAGAAGGCCUUCGGGUUGUAAAGCCCUUUUGUUGGGAAAGAAAAGCAGCAGGUUAAUACCCCGCGGUUCUGACGGUACCCAAAGAAUAAGCACCGGCUACCUUCGU
rnacentral:rRNA from 1 species